UACGUAGGGUGCGAGCGUUGUCCGGAAUUACUGGGCGUAAAGAGCUCGUAGGCGGUUCGUCGCGUCGGCUGUGAAAUCCCGAGGCUCAACCUCGGGUCUGCAGUCGAUACGGGCGGACUGGAGUUCGGCAGGGGAGACUGGAAUUCCUGGUGUAGCGGUGAAAUGCGCAGAGUAUCAGGAGGAACACCGGUGGCGAAGGCGGGUCUCUGGGCCGGAUACUGACGCUGGAGGAGCGAAAAGCGUGGGGAGCGAACAGG
rnacentral:rRNA from 1 species